ACCCACCAACCCCAUCCCGUCUCCCGACGCAUGGGUGAGCCCAUCCCCGAGCUCACCGUGCUCGCGCACCAUGGUGGCUACCUCUGCCACCUCCUUGCUCCGCACCACCAGCUCUACCACAGCUACAGUUGCUCUGGUGUCGUUGUUGUGUCCCGCCCGUGUCUACUCCACGUCUCCACCAAACAUUGCUUCCAUCACCGGACGGGUAAUCCCCAUCGUCGCCUUGGUUCCCCACCGCCCCUUCCCUGUCAUGAUCCCUCCUCCAACGAUGGUGUGUCAUUUUUGGAUGGCAAAGAAGUUGCACGCGCAUCACAGGCCUUACACCCUGCAACCCUAUGUGGAGUACUUGUGGAGAAAAAAAUAGUAUAUGGCAAAGGAAGAAUUAUUGACAUAUCAACCUUUCCAUGUUUCCUGUAUAUGGAGCUUCUGCAAAUAUGACUACCUGUCGGAACCACCAUAAGUCGACGAAUAUUGCGUUAGCCCUAAGGAGCUUGCGUUGCUGCAAUGAUUAUCCAUGAUCACCUCAUUUAGUAGGUGUUACGACAUUCGCUGAGCGGAAGUGGAAAUAGUGGUGUUGUCAUUGUCGGAGAUGAUUCCGGCGAAUUUCUCGGUACUAUAUCCCGAUGUGGUAAUUACGCCAGAGGGGAAACAAGGAGGCGAGUUUACCCAGGUUCGUAGCCUCUCGGUGGAGAUAAAACCCUACUCCUGCUCGGUGUAUAUUGUGAUUGGGGUAAACGGAGUACAUGUAUAAACCAAGAGAUUGUAAAGUAUAUAUCUACUAGCUUUGGCCCUGGCUUAUAUAACAAACCGAAUGAUGGUGUCCCAGAUAGAGGGGUGCCAACCACGUCGGUUCCCAUACAUGGGCUGGGUCGAGGACCCCCAAACAACCAACUAGUGGGCCAUGUUCGUCAGGCCCCAUGAAGCAAUCAAGAUGGAUCCCUCCAAAGACUUGGCGCAUACUACAAGGCACCAAUGCAAUCUUCGACGUGUUUAUCUCGAGAUGUAAGUGUAAGCCUAGGUACCACGGUGUCUACAUAAGUCGAGGGGUCUAGACCGUAGAGGCGAAAUCAUUCAUACACGAUCGCGUGGUGGAUCAACAUGUACUCUGUACCCUG